rnacentral:lncRNA from 1 species
AAUCACAAUGGCAGAAACUGAACAAGAUUGUUUAUAAAUAUAUAUAUAACUCAACAAGAUUAAAAAUCAUGUGCCAUGUGCCUUAUUCCAAAUCUUAACUUAUGAACCGACGUUCAUGAUAAGAAAAGAUCGAGUGACAAGUGGGUGAAGCAAGCUUACAAUUAUGCAAUUUGCAAAAUAUUAUCAUAUGACUAUAGAAUGACAAUGAACUGCAGAGAUUAUUCAUAGGGUAAAAUGUAAUUUACGCUACUCAAGAUUUAAUUAGCGUAAAAAAAUGUUUUAAUCCCUAUCUUUUUAAAAAUAAUUAUUUUGAUUAUAUUUUUAAAAUGUGAUGGAUCUCAUUCGCAUGUGUGUGUUUAGAAAGCAAUUGAAUCCAAUAUUAAUGAGCUUUCAGAUAAAAAUUACAAUAUAAUUUUUACAUUAUAAAGAACUCAAUUUCUCGUUUCAACGUGAUUUUAACACUGAUUCAAACAUAAUAUUUCAUCUUAACUUGAUCAAGAGCGAAAUUCACUAUAUUUUUAAAAACAUGAUGAUUAAAAUCACCAUUUUUAAAAUAUAAAAGACUGGAACUAAUUUUGACCAAAAACUUAAAAUACAUUUUAUCCUUCUAUGGCCAAAGGAGAAGGUUACAAAGAAAAGAUAUAUCUUCAUGCAAGAUAAGGAGGGAUAUGAAUAUGGUCGUUUGAAGGACCAUCACUGAAGUUAAGACAAUAACUGAGAAAAUCAUAGCUGUAUUGUGGACCUCUCUUGCGCCAUCCCAUGGUUUGCUUCCAGCCACGCUUCAACUUGCAAACUAGCUGUCUCAGAACGCUUGAUGAAGAAGGGCCAUAGCCAAGUAACCUCUUUCUUGGAACAUUACCAAGUGUCACUAAAGGGCUAACUCUCAUUUUUGCUAUGAAUAGAAGCUUCAAGAACUGGGUGAUUUGAGAUAUAUAAAACUAUAUGGUGUUUUCAUUCUGUUGUGCUAGCUAGCUAUCUUGACACUUAAGGUCAAGUGAGAUGUGAGAUGUGAGAUGUGAGAGUGUUGCUAUAACAAAAUAAUGCAUCGUGAGGAAUUGGACUGGAUGAAAGCUUGUUAUCAAUUGUACACCGCACAAGGAAGGAACCAAGUAUAGGAUGUCAAUUUUUGAUUUGUUGGGAAUGAAAAGCAUUAUUAUCAUGAACAAAUGCAUCAAUUAUUUGGUGCAGAGUGAUGUAAGAUCUUAUUGUAUUUUUAUAUUAUAUAAAAUUUUCUUAGAUUAAUAGCGGUCAUACAUCACAAGUAGAAUUAGUCUCUGAUCCAAUAGAUUAAAAGACAUUUGUCUCUUACCCAAUAAAAAAAAUGCAUCAAGUAAUCAUACUUUAGUU